rnacentral:rRNA from 1 species
GACGAACGCUGGCGGCGUGCUUAACACAUGCAAGUCGAACGGAAAGGCCCUGCUUUUGUGGGGUGCUCGAGUGGCGAACGGGUGAGUAACACGUGAGUAACCUGCCCUUGACUUUGGGAUAACUUCAGGAAACUGGGGCUAAUACCGGAUAGGAGCUCCUGCUGCAUGGUGGGGGUUGGAAAGUUUCGGCGGUUGGGGAUGGACUCGCGGCUUAUCAGCUUGUUGGUGGGGUAGUGGCUUACCAAGGCUUUGACGGGUAGCCGGCCUGAGAGGGUGACCGGCCACAUUGGGACUGAGAUACGGCCCAGACUCCUACGGGAGGCAGCAGUGGGGAAUAUUGCACAAUGGGCGGAAGCCUGAUGCAGCAACGCUGCGUGCGGGAUGACGGCCUUCGGGUUGUAAACCGCUUUCGCCUGUGACGAAGCGCGAGUGACGGUAAUGGGUAAAGAAGCACCGGCUAACUACGUG